rnacentral:rRNA from 1 species
UACGUAGGGUGCGAGCGUUAAUCGGAAUUACUGGGCGUAAAGCGUGCUCAGGCGGUACGUUAAGACAGGUGUGAAAUCCCCGGGCUUAACCUGGGAAUUGCGCUUGUGACUGGCGUGCUCGAGUGCGGCAGAGGGGGGUGGAAUUCCAGGUGUAGCAGUGAAAUGCGUAGAUAUCUGGAGGAACACCGAUGGCGAAGGUAGCCCCCUGGGCCGACGCUGACGAUAAGGCACGAAAGCGUGGGGAGCAAACAGG